GACGUAGGGCGCGAGCGUUGUCCGGAUUUAUUGGGCGUAAAGAGCUCGUAGGCGGCUUGUCGCGUCGAAUGUGAAAUCUCGGGGCUUAACUCCGAAACUGCAUUCGAUACUGCCGUGCUUGAGGGCUGGAGAGGAGACUGGAAUUUACGGUGUAGCGGUGAAAUGCGUAGAUAUCGUAAGGAAGACCAGUGGCGAAGGCGGGUCUCUGGACAGUUCCUGACGCUGAGGCACGAAGGUCAGGGGAGCAAACGGG
rnacentral:rRNA from 1 species